rnacentral:rRNA from 1 species
AUUGAACGCUGGCGGCAGGCCUAACACAUGCAAGUCGAACGGUAACAGAAAGCAGCUUGCUGCUUUGCUGACGAGUGGCGGACGGGUGGGUAAUGUCUGGGAAACUGCCUGAUGGAGGGGGAUAACUACUGGAAACGGUAGCUAAUACCGCAUAACGUCGCAAGACCAAAGAGGGGGACCUUCGGGCCUCUUGCCAUCGGAUGUGCCCAGAUGGGAUUAGCUAGUAGGUGGGGUAACGGCUCACCUAGGCGACGAUCCCUAGCUGGUCUGAGAGGAUGACCAGCCACACUGGAACUGAGACACGGUCCAGACUCCUACGGGAGGCAGCAGUGGGGAAUAUUGCACAAUGGGCGCAAGCCUGAUGCAGCCAUGCCGCGUGUAUGAAGAAGGCCUUCGGGUUGUAAAGUACUUUCAGCGGGGAGGAAGGGAGUAAAGUUAAUACCUUUGCUCAUUGACGUUACCCGCAGAAGAAGCACCGGCUAACUCCGUG